CACGUACUUCCUCUGUUCGGAAUUACUUGUCUCGAAAAUGAAUGUAUCUAGAUGUAUUUUAGUUUUAGAUACAUCCAUUUUCGAGACAAGUAAUUCUGAACGGAGGGAGUACACA
rnacentral:pre_miRNA from 1 species